rnacentral:rRNA from 1 species
AUGGAACCGCUCUCUAUCUUUGAACCGAGUCGUUACACUGCGAGAGCGGAAUGGGCGGGCCCGCUUGGUCGCUCAUGGGCUCUAGAGACCUUAGGUAUGCGAGCGCGUCAGAAUGGGAAGGCCCGGGCCCAGUCGCCACCUCCUCCUCCUCCGUCCGGUCGUCGCUGCAUUUUCCGCCACCGCCGCCGCCUCCUCUUCUCCUCUGCCGCCGAGGUCGUAGGAGCUCGGUUUCGCGUUCUGCCACACUGCAAGUUCACCAUCCUGGUCUUGCACAGAACCUCUGCAAGGUUCAACAGCAAGAGGGGAUUACUGAUGGCAGCCAUCCUGCCAAGAACCGCGCUGCUGCUGCGGACGCCGCGCGGCGCCGGCCGGCUCGCGCGGUUCCUCGGGGCCGGCGUGCCCGCAGCUUCAUCAUCCGAUGCUGAGACGGCGGCGGAGUUCAUGCCGUGGCGUAACGGCGGGGGCGUUCUGCACCGGGCGGCGUCCGUUGACCCCUCCGCGGUGGUGGAGGCCGGCGCCGUCGUGCACUCCGGCGCUGUGAUUGGCAAGGAGGUCGUCGUCGGGUCUGGGACCGUGGUCGGGCCUUCGGUGUCCGUGGGGCAGUCCACCAGGAUCGGGUACAAUGUUGUCUUGAGCAACUGCUCGGUGGGCGAGUUCUGCACUAUCCACAAUGGCGCCUGCAUCGGUCAAGAUGGUUUUGGUUUCUUUGUGGACCAGGAUGGACAGGUCAAGAAGAAACCACAGGAGCUUUAUGCAAGAAUUGGAGACAAUGUGGAAAUUGGUGCAAAUACAUGCAUUGACAGAGGCAGUUGGAGAGACACAAUGAUUGGAGAUGACACCAAGAUUGAUAAUCUGGUUCAGAUAGGUCACAAUGUGGUGAUAGGAAAGUGCUGCAUGAUUUGUGGACAAGUAGGGAUCGCAGGUUCUGCAACGUUGGGUGACUACGUAGUAUUAGGUGGUAGGGUGGCCAUCCGGGAUCAUGUCUCCAUUGCUUCAAAGGUUAGACUCGCUGCAAAUAGUUUAGCGACAAAGGACAUUCAGGAGCCCGGUGACUAUGGCGGAUUUCCAGCUGUCCCAAUAAACGAAUGGCGUCGACAAACUGUGAACUUGCGCUUAUUUUCAAAGAAACACCAUGACAGAAGAUAG